rnacentral:misc_RNA from 1 species
AUAGUUGAUGGCCUAAAUGCAAUCAUAGAUUACAUUAAUGAGGGAGAGAUGGAUGCUCGGUUGCAGAACUUAACAGCUUAUGUGAGGAGAUUCUGGGUGGGUGUGAUUGGCGUGGAGUCAUUGUCUACUUUUGGUUGCGCCAGGAGGACCAACAAUGACCUCGAAUCAUUCCACGCCCAACUUCUCUGUGCGUUUGGCGUGAAUCUCGACAUAUGGAGCUUCAUAAGAAGGCUCCAGUUAAUAGAGAGAACCUCCUAUGACAAUCUCAUUAGAGUACAUAGAGAGAUUGCGGUCAACCGACCGAAAAAAGACAAAGUUACUCGCGAUGUCAAGAAGGCGAUCCGUCGUCUUAUAAACGGCGAGAUCACAAUAAUACACUUUCUGAGUGCAGUGGCUCAUGGUGCCGACAACAUUGUCAAUAGGCCACUGCCUCAGAAUGAGUGGUUCCUUCUUGACAUCGCUGGAGAGGAAGAAGUAAUGUGAGAAGGUUGACCGUAUCUCCAGAAGAGGUUGUAAAUAUUAGGUAGAUAGGAAAUAUUAUUAGGAUAGAUCUGUAAAUAUUAAUGUAUUAUCUCCAGAAGAGGUUGUAAAAAUAUUAGGUAGAUAGGAAUAUUAUUAGGAUAGAUCUGUAAAUAUUAAUGUAUUAAUAUAUAAAU